GGGUGCGUGGCUCAGUGGUAGAGCGCGUUCCUGAUAAGAACGAGGUCCAUGGUUCGAUCCCAUGCGCACCCACCA
rnacentral:tRNA from 1 species